GACGAACCGUGCGAACGUUGUUCGGAAUCACUGGGCUUAAAGGGCGCGUAGGCGGGCGGCCAAGUCAGAGGUGAAAGCCUGCAGCUCAACUGCAGAAGUGCCCGCUGAUACUGGUCGUCUCGAGGGAGGUAGGGGCAUGUGGAACUUCCGGUGGAGCGGUGAAAUGCGUAGAUAUCGCUUGGAACGCCAAAGGUGAAAACAGGCUGCUGGGGUUGUGCCGACGCUGAGACGACGAAAGCCAGGGGAGCAAACGGG
rnacentral:rRNA from 1 species